rnacentral:rRNA from 1 species
UCGCCCUUAGAGUUUGAUCCUGGCUCAGGAUGAACGCCAGCUACAGGCUUAACACAUGCAAGUCGAGGGGCAGCGGGAUUGAAGCUUGCUUCAAUUGCCGGCGACCGGCGCACGGGUGAGUAACGCGUAUCCAACCUUCCGUACACUCAGGGAUAGCCUUUCGAAAGAAAGAUUAAUACCUGAUAGUAUCUUAAGCACACAUGUAAUUAAGAUUAAAGAUUUAUCGGUGUACGAUGGGGAUGCGUUCCAUUAGGUAGUAGGCGGGGUAACGGCCCACCUAGCCAACGAUGGAUAGGGGUUCUGAGAGGAAGGUCCCCCACAUUGGAACUGAGACACGGUCCAAACUCCUACGGGAGGCAGCAGUGAGGAAUAUUGGUCAAUGGACGAGAGUCUGAACCAGCCAAGUAGCGUGAAGGAUGAAGGUCCUACGGAUUGUAAACUUCUUUUAUAAGGGAAUAAACCCUCCCACGUGUGGGAGCUUGUAUGUACCUUAUGAAUAAGCAUCGGCUAACUCCGUGCCAGCAGCCGCGGUAAUACGGAGGAUGCGAGCGUUAUCCGGAUUUAUUGGGUUUAAAGGGAGCGCAGACGGGUCGUUAAGUCAGCUGUGAAAGUUUGGGGCUCAACCUUAAAAUUGCAGUUGAUACUGGCGUCCUUGAGUGCGGUUGAGGUGUGCGGAAUUCGUGGUGUAGCGGUGAAAUGCUUAGAUAUCACGAAGAACUCCGAUUGCGAAGGCAGCACACUAAUCCGUAACUGACGUUCAUGCUCGAAAGUGUGGGUAUCAAACAGGAUUAGAUACCCUGGUAGUCCACACGGUAAACGAUGGAUACUCGCUGUUGGCGAUAUACUGUCAGCGGCUUAGCGAAAGCGUUAAGUAUCCCACCUGGGGAGUACGCCGGCAACGGUGAAACUCAAAGGAAUUGACGG